AUGGACUUUAUCACCGGACUACCCAGGACCAAGGCAGGAUAUGACUCAAUAUGGGUAGUAGUGGAUCGUUUGACUAAAGUGGCUCACUUUAUUCCGGUGAAAACUACCUAUACAAGUGCUAAGUUGGCCAAGAUAUAUAUGACCAGAAUUGUAUGUUUGCAUGGAGUUCCGAGGAGCAUCGUAUCAGAUAGAGGGACUCAGUUCACUUCAAAGUUUUGGCAUCAGUUACACCAGACCUUGGGUAAAGAUUGGAGUUUAGUACAGCCUUCCACCCACAGACUGAUGGUCAGACUGAGAGAGUUAACCAGAUACUAG
rnacentral:rRNA from 1 species